rnacentral:rRNA from 1 species
UGCCAGCAGCCGCGGUAAUACGGAGGGGGUUAGCGUUGUUCGGAAUCACUGGGCGUAAAGCGCACGUAGGCUGACUGGUCAGUUGGGGGUGAAACCCCGGGGCUCAACCCCGGAACUGCCUUCAAUACUGCCAGUCUUGAGUCCGAGAGAGGUGAGUGGAAUUCCUAGUGUAGAGGUGAAAUUCGUAGAUAUUAGGAAGAACACCAGUGGCGAAGGCGGCUUUCUGGACCGAUACUGACGCUGAGACGCGAAAGCGUGGGGAGCAAACAGGAUUAGAUA